UUCAUAUGACAGCUGGAGAAGUUUUUAGUUUCUAUUCUAAAUACAGCAGUCAAUAUUUGAAGUGGAUCAAAACCUUUCAUCAAAGUUGUUAUAAAACCAAAACAAUAUCUACCCGUUCCUGUCUUACGACAACUUUGAACUUUUUCGUUUUUUGAACGGCCUUUGUUUGGUGUGUGAGUGUAACAAACAGAGCUUUUUGUAGAGUUGCUGUGUUCUUGACUUUAAACCUUACAACUCUAUAGUUGACUCCAUGCUGCAACUUGACAAAUAAAGAUCAUGGAUCGGUUACUGGAUCAUUUGUGUUUUGAAGGACACACCGUCCUGGAUCUGAUAUGUCAGCGAUGUGAUCCGGACUCUUCUGAUGGGCAGAAACACUGGGAAAAGAUCAACUGGAUACUGGGAGAAAAUUGUUGUUGUUGUCAUUGAUCUGUGAUUGACAGACAUUAUGAAACCGUGGAGGGACCGACUCACGGAGGAUCUCUGUCUGUUUCAGUUUUUUUUCUGCAUACAAUCAAAACAGCGCAAAAUACUCAAAUGGUGAACAGAACAGGUGAUGCCUCGUUAAUCAGGAGCCAUAGUAACAAACAAGGAGCCGGACACUGGAAUAAAGGGACACUGGAAUAAUAGAAACAGAUGAAAUCAGGCAGAUCCUGACAACAAUACUACAGUAUGAAAGAGCAUUAAAGUGUGCAGGAGACAGACCGGAGCUUUAAAUGUUUUAAAUGUGUAUGUAUAGAAUUUUUUUCUUUGUUUUUACAGAAUUCUGUUUUUAGGGUUUCAGAUGAUUGGUUAGUGUUUGAUUUGACGUACUUAAAACUUGAUUUGUCCAGCACUAUCA